rnacentral:lncRNA from 1 species
UUGCUUUGCUUCUGCCUUGUCUGGAGGUAAUUUGUGUUCUUUGAUGUAGUCGAUGAAGGGUACUCUCCAUUAUACGUCGAUCAUCAUAACCUCCCGAUCUGGUGUGGUAGGACCUCGAUCAGUGGUUGUUGAUGGUGUCGGCUCUGUUAUGGAUAGCUUGUGUAGCUCAUGGAUGAACACUCCUGUUAGAAGUUGAGCACGAGUAGAUCUAAGCUUGGAUAGGACGUCCGUGGCAACAUUAUUG